rnacentral:rRNA from 1 species
CAGUAGCCGCGGUAAUACGUAGGGUGCGAGCGUUAAUCGGAAUUACUGGGCGUAAAGCGUGCGUAGGCGGUUUGUUAAGUCUGUUGUGAAAUCCCCGGGCUCAACCUGGGAAUGGCAAUGGAUACUGGCAAGCUAGAGUGUGUCAGAGGAUGGUGGAAUUCCCGGCGUAGCGGUGAAAUGCGUAGAGAUCGGGAGGAACAUCAGUGGCGAAGGCGGCCAUCUGGGACAACACUGACGCUGAGGCACGAAAGCGUGGGGAGCAAACAGGAUUAGAUACCCGCGUAGUCCCUGUCUCUUAUAA